GGUCGGGAUAGCUCAGCUGGUAG
rnacentral:tRNA from 1 species